rnacentral:ribozyme from 1 species
AAAAGGAAAAAAAAAAAAAGGGGAAAGGACAAGCUUUCCAUUUUUUUUUUGUUCUUCUUCGUAUGUCUGGGUUGUUUUUUUUGCUUUUCGCAAAGGAAAAUGGGUGAACAGUGAGGAUGGUUGAGUUACG